GACGAACCGUGCGAACGUUGUUCGGAUUCACUGGGCUUAAAGGGCGCGUAGGCGGGCGGUCAAGUCGGGGGUGAAAUCUUUCAGCUUAACUGGAAAAGUGCCUCCGAUACUGAUCGCCUCGAGGGAGGUAGGGCUGUGGAACGUUCCGGUGGAGCUGGGUGAAAUGCGUAGAUAUCGGAAGGAACGCCGGUGGCGAAAGCGACGUGCUGGACCUCUUCUGACGGCUGAGGCGCGAAAGCUAGGGGAGCAAACGGG
rnacentral:rRNA from 1 species